AUCGUCCUGGCGUCGUGGGUGACAAGCAGGAGAAGGGGUCCUGUCUUGGAGCGUGUGGCACAUCUGCGUGUUAAAGACGACCCUCGGAGGUGAUACAGAAUCAAACCUCCUUCAAAGGACGCAGAACAUUUGGCCAAUCAGACCCUAGUUUAGCAGAACAGACCCAGACAGUAUUCUGUUAUGACGUCCCUCGACAAGAGGAGGAGCCAUAGUGAGACCUGGAGUCUGCUCUGCUGCAGAUCCACCCCUCCUCCUCCAACCUCCUCCAGACCUGACACACUACAGAGCCUGCUUUGUGUGUGUGUGUGUGGGUGUGUGUGUGAGAGAGUACUGGUGGUCUGUGUAUGUGUGUAGGUGUGUGUAUGUGUGUGUUUACCCGAGUUGUGUCCAGGGGCACUAGGACCCAGCGCAGCGCGGGGGGCUGAAGAAGGGACGGUCCUUUGGGGUGAGGUAGUAGGUUGUAUAGUUUUAGGGUCACGCCCUUCCUGUCAGAUAACUAUACAACUUACUGUCUUUCCUGAAGUGGCUGUAAUGUCACCGAUCAAGGAGAGCAGCCGGGGUCUGAACACUCACCCUCAUGUGACCGGGUCCACCUGUGUCGUGUGAUGUCAUGAACACUCACCCUCAUGUGACUGGGUCCACCUGUGUCGUGUGAUGUCAUGAACACUGCUUUGACUGACCCAACGGUGUUGGACGCUCGUUACUGUCUUUCCCCUAUGUGUGUUGUGCAUGUACAGUAACGUGUCACAAGUGUACAGGUGUUUUUAAGUCGUUCGCAUGGAACGAUUUCACCCCUCGCCAUCGAAAUCAAAUGUAUUUGGAUGUGGAACGAGGACAAGGCAACAUCUCGACUCCAGGGUCCUCUCCCCGCUCCCUCCCCCUACGAUGUUCGAACAGGGUGAGGUAGUAGGUUGUGUGGUUUCAGGGUAGUGAUUUUGCCCCUUCAGAAGAUAACUAUACAACCUACUGCCUUCCCUGGAGGGCAGCAACACUUCUCAAAACCAACCACAGGGGGCGACAUACACACACAUUUGAAUGGCCCUCCGGCUCCCAGAAUCGAAAUGAGGUCAACCGUCUGCCGUGUUUAAACCCGGUAAACGUCUGUUCUGCAGCACAUGUUGUCUGCAGUGUGCGAAGACUCAGGUAAUGACAGUGUGUUUUCAGCUACAGCAGCAGCAAUGUGACGUCAAACAAUCAAUAAAACACAUCAGACCGUUUGCAAAUGGA